GUUUUAUUUGUUUAUUUUGGCUACAUUGCGCCAAUUGCGCUUCCAUAGAAUAAAGAAACGCGCUUCCACGCGCUUGCCGACUCGAUCGCAAGGGGACAGCCUGAUCAACAUCAAUAUCAGCAGCAAUGGCGGAUUUGCGCUUGCCAUGGCGCUUGCAACGUUUUCAAUAGUUUUCGACUAUUAAGUGAUGCUUUUGCUAUUUUAACGUGUGGAGGUUCAUUGUACGUCUGUUUUUUCAAGUUUGGCAUGUGUUUUAACACAUGUGAAGGUGUAGUCUUUUCUUCUUCAGCGGAUAUUUGUACAAGACCCCGUUCACCGUCUAUCAGCUCUAGCUCGGCAAGAAUAAAGCGGUUCCUUAGAAGUGGUGGAGGUGCUGGGGUUCUGCAUACCAAGGACGUAUAAGGUCACAAAGCUGCACCCAGGUAGAGGCAGAAUCCAAAAAUGCUUGUGUACUUAAGUAUAGCUGCACAUUACAGAAUCCGAGGCCCUCAAGAUUUAUCCGUAGCCCUCGUGUAGCCCACGAGUUCCAUAUUUUUUAUUGGGAUUGAAGAGUAACGUUUGUGCUGUAUCCUUCUAUUUCAGACUAAAUAAUGUGCAUGCAAAAUUAUAUCUUCAUUACUUUACACCAUUGCACCAAUAUCUGUUGUGCGUUGAUUUUCUGAUGUCCUUGCAUUUGCUAUAACAAGGAUUUUUAAAAAUCAGCCACAAAAGAAAAAAAUAAAUGGUCAAGGAACGAAGUGGUGUGUAGCAGCUCCCUUUUUUUUAAUCGACAGCAAGUUUUGCACUCGUGUGUUAGCAACACUGUUUCGCCAGUUGCGUACUUCAAAAGAAGUGUUACCUUUCUGCUUUGGAACUUUGUGGUUUUGUUCUGCCAGCUGCUUGACCAACUCAAGCAAAAUGUACUUUGGAUAUUCCACAAAUUCAUUCUGUAUGCAUUUGGUACAAUAAAAUUUGUUUCAAGAAUGGACAAAUGCAGUGAUGGUUAAUUGAAAACUGCAACAUGCUGAGUUUCAUGCUUCAUUAAUUUUCUCAGCCCCAAAGAAAGCAUGCGAGGUUUGAAAAUGUAUCAUGUGACAUUAGUGCACUCGGUCUAGAGAACUGAUUAAUGCUGCACAUACAUUGAACAUGAUGGCCAUGACCAUCCCUCAUGAAUUGGCAUUCCCUGCCUAAACCACCUCACCAAGACAGCUUGUUAACAGCAAGAAAGCUGACGGGGCUUCCAA